CAGGAUCCAUCUGUCUCUGCACUCACAAAACUGAGGUUAAGUGACCAUGGGCUCUCCAACUGCAUGCCAGAGAAACUGGAGAGACUUUGACAGUCCAAACUAGCACAGUGCCUGCCACUUGGCUUUCCUCUAUGC